UAGUGGGAGUUGCGUAAGUGAUCCUUAGACCUGAAGUCGCCAUGGUACCUUAUGUACAUAGAUCUAUAUUUUGGUUCACUACCUAACUUGGUUCUUUGAUCCUUGUGUGAGGUGUUUUGGAUAUGGUAAAGAGUGUAUGGAGGUUGUGAGAGAUCAAUAAGGAAUCAGCCACUCCUAAUAAGGGGAGAGAACAUCCUAUGUAAUCUCAUAGGUCG
rnacentral:lncRNA from 1 species